rnacentral:rRNA from 1 species
AUUGAACGCUGGCGGCAGGCCUAACACAUGCAAGUCGAGCGGGGUUUUCGGACCUAGCGGCGGACGGGUGAGUAAUGCGUAGGAAGCUACCCGACAGAGGGGGAUACCAGUUGGAAACGACUGUUAAUACCGCAUAAUGUCUACGGACCAAAGUGUGGGACCUUCGGGCCACAUGCUGUCGGAUGCGCCUACGUGGGAUUAGCUAGUUGGUGAGGUAAUGGCUCACCAAGGCGACGAUCCCUAGCUGGUUUGAGAGGAUGAUCAGCCACACUGGAACUGAGACACGGUCCAGACUCCUACGGGAGGCAGCAGUGGGGAAUAUUGGAUAAUGGGCGAAAGCCUGAUCCAGCCAUGCCGCGUGUGUGAAGAAGGUCUUCGGAUUGUAAAGCACUUUAAGUUGGGAGGAAGGGUAGUAACCUAAUACGUUGCUACUUUGACGUUACCGACAGAAUAAGCACCGGCUAACUUCGUGCCAGCAGCCGCGGUAAGUGACUACUG